rnacentral:rRNA from 1 species
UACGUAGGGCGCAAGCGUUAUUCGGAAUUACUGGGCGUAAAGCGAGUGUAGGCGGUUCGGUAAGUCGGAUGUGAAAGCCCCGGGCUCAACCCGGGAAGUGCACUCGAUACUGCCGAGCUAGAGUGUCGGAGAGGUUGGUGGAAUUCUCGGUGUAGAGGUGAAAUUCGUAGAUAUUCGCAAGAACACCAGUGGCGAAGGCGGCUCACUGGCCCGGUACUCGGACGCUGA